rnacentral:rRNA from 1 species
AUUGAACGCUGGCGGCAGGCCUAACACAUGCAAGUCGAACGGUAACAGGAAGAAGCUUGCUUCUUUGCUGACGAGUGGCGGACGGGUGAGUAAUGUCUGGGAAACUGCCUGAUGGAGGGGGAUAACUACUGGAAACGGUAGCUAAUACCGCAUAACGUCGCAAGACCAAAGAGGGGGACCUUCGGGCCUCUUGCCAUCGGAUGUGCCCAGAUGGGAUUAGCUAGUAGGUGGGGGUACGGCUCACCUAGGCGACGAUCCCUAGCUGGUCUGAGAGGAUGACCAGCCACACUGGAACUGAGACACGGUCCAGACUCCUACGGGAGGCAGCAGUGGGGAAUAUUGCACAAUGGGCGCAAGCCUGAUGCAGCCAUGCCGCGUGUAUGAAGAAGGCCUUCGGGUUGUAAAGUACUUUCAGCGGGGAGGAAGGGAGUAAAGUUAAUACCUUUGCUCAUUGACGUUACCCGCAGAAGAAGCACCGGCUAACUCCGUG